rnacentral:rRNA from 1 species
GACGAACGCUGGCGGCGUGCUUAACACAUGCAAGUCGAACGGAAAGGCCCUGCUUUUGUGGGGUGCUCGAGUGGCGAACGGGUGAGUAACACGUGAGUAACCUGCCCUUGACUUUGGGAUAACUUCAGGAAACUGGGGCUAAUACCGGAUAGGAGCUCCUGCUGCAUGGUGGGGGUUGGAAAGUUUCGGCGGUUGGGGAUGGACUCGCGGCUUAUCAGCUUGUUGGUGGGGUAGUGGCUUACCAAGGCUUUGACGGGUAGCCGGCCUGAGAGGAUGACCGGCCACAUUGGGACUGAGAUACGGCCCAGACUCCUACGGGAGGCAGCAGUGGGGAAUAUUGCACAAUGGGCGGAAGCCUGAUGCAGCAACGCCGCGUGCGGGAGGACGGCCUUCGGGUUGUAAACCGCUUUCGCCUGUGACGAAGCGUGAGUGACGGUAAUGGGUAAAGAAGCACCGGCUAACUACGU